AGGUGGAUACAAGAUUGUUCAAAGAAAAGUACCUGAAUUCAUUGUUCCAGAUCUAACAGGAUUUGAGCUAAAGCCAUAUGUCUCCUAUAAAGCACCAAAAGUAGACGAACCACCAAUGACAGCAGAAAGACUUCUUCAGAUGAUCAAAAGCAACAUCCACUUAAUCAAGUUUCGUGAAGUUCCUUGACAUUCUUAUUGAUUUUACUGCGAUUUAAGUUGAUAUGAGCUGUACAGUAAAGUUAAAUGGACAUUUCUUAAAAAAUUGCAGUAAUCUAAAGCAUGGUUACUAUGAGUCAUACCCAGUCUUUUCUUGUGCUGUUUUCAAGCAAACCCAAGAGAGAAAUAAUCUGACACUUUCUAGUACCUAAAAGUUACUGAACUCUAAAUCCAGUUAUGUUAAAAUGUACGUAUAUAUUGCUUAUAUAAAGUUCUCUAUAUAGCAAAUAUAA